UACGUAGGGCGCGAGCGUUGUCCGGAAUUAUUGGGCGUAAAGAGCUCGUAGGCGGCCUGUUGCGUCCGCUGUGAAAUCCCGGGGCUCAACCCUGGGCGUGCAGUGGAUACGGGCAGGCUGGAGGCAGGCAGGGGAGAACGGAAUUCCCGGUGUAGCGGUGAAAUGCGCAGAUAUCGGGAGGAACACCGAUGGCGAAGGCAGCCUUCUGGGCCAACACUGACGCUCAUGCACGAAAGCGUGGGGAGCAAACAGG
rnacentral:rRNA from 1 species